UACGUAGGGGGCUAGCGUUGUCCGGAAUCAUUGGGCGUAAAGCGCGCGUAGGCGGCCCGGUAAGUCCGCUGUGAAAGUCAAAGGCUCAACCUUUGAAUGUCAGCGGAUACUGCCGGGCUAGAGUCCGGAAGAGGCGAGUGGAACUCCUGGUGUAGCGGUGGAAUGCGCAGAUAUCAGGAAGAACACCAACGGCGAAGGCAGCUCGCUGGGACGGAACUGACGCUGAGGCGCGAAAGCUGGGGGAGCAAACGGG
rnacentral:rRNA from 1 species